CCUACGGGAGGCAGCAGUGAGGAAUAUUGGUCAAUGGACGAGAGUCUGAACCAGCCAAGUAGCGUGAAGGAUGACUGCCCUAUGGGUUGUAAACUUCUUUUAUAUGGGAAUAAAAUGUUCCACGUGUGGGCUUUUGUAUGUACCAUAUGAAUAAGGAUCGGCUAACUCCGUGCCAGCAGCCGCGGUAAUACGGAGGAUCCGAGCGUUAUCCGGAUUUAUUGGGUUUAAAGGGAGCGUAGGUGGAUUGUUAAGUCAGUUGUGAAAGUUUGCGGCUCAACCGUAAAAUUGCAGUUGAAACUGACAGUCUUGAGUACAGUAGAGGUGAGCGGAAUUCGUGGUGUAGCGGUGAAAUGCUUAGAUAUCACGAAGAACUCCGAUUGCGAAGGCAGCUCACUGGACUGCAACUGACACUGAGGCUCGAAAGUGUGGGUAUCAAACAGGAUUAGAUGCCCGUGUAGUC
rnacentral:rRNA from 1 species